UGUUCUUGACAGCAGCUGUAUGGCACAGACUUUCCCACAUUAGCAUCGCACUGGUGCGGCUGCACGCCACGGCUGGUUACACAUGGCCACCUGAGCGGCAGUUUCGAGGCGACCUGCAGGACAGGUCCUUGUGGCGUUCGCACGUGAUCAGAUCCGUUAUCCGUCCAUCUGAGUCACUGACAGCUUUUCUCUCCUUUUUUACCGGACUGCUUGUCCACACCUAUCGACACGGCCUAGCCUGCAUGCUACGUUGCCCGUGUAAUUACCUACGCCGACAGGACUCUGAAUCUCCGCAGAUGACCAAAGAGACAGAUCCAGGACACAAUCCCCAAUGCCGGACCCCUGUGUCAUCUAAUUCGGCUGCAUGCAGUGUGCCGCAGUUGCCCACCAGAAACCACGCCCGUGGCAAGCGUGUCUGAUCCGCGGCCUGUGGGAUGCUGUCCCCCGGGUCCCCGACACGCCGAUACCCCCUCCUCGCUCCUUACGUGUUGUCCUGAUUGAAGUUGGCGAAGAGGAGCUGGCCGCAGCCAGCCUCCCCGCUCUGACUGGCCAGGUUCAUCGGCUCAGCAGCAUGCAGAGGCGCAGCGGCCGCGGGACACGCAGCAUCCGGAGCGGGGGGCCCGGCCGUGGACGCUCAGCCUCUCACCGACGUUCCUUCUCCCCCUUCCUCCUGCCUGUUGUUGUUUUGCUCGCGCGGAGCCGUGCAUGUGCCAUGCGCAUGCGCUGCUAUGGGCGUACGUGCAUGCGCCCGAGCGCGCUUGAGAUGAAUACACGCAUGACUCGUGAAUUAAAGGGGAAGUGAGAGGACCGUCUGCUUUCUCUGUCUGCUUUAAAGUCCUUAUUUACUGCUGAUACUGAUCUAUGCAUUUACUCGAUACAUUAAAAAUAAAACAUGAUAAUAU